rnacentral:rRNA from 1 species
AUUGAACGCUGGCGGCAGGCUUAACACAUGCAAGUCGAGCGGGGUGAUGGUGCUUGCACUAUCACUUAGCGGCGGACGGGUGAGUAAUGCUUAGGAAUCUGCCUAUUAGUGGGGGACAACAUCUCGAAAGGGAUGCUAAUACCGCACACGUCCUACGGGAGAAAGCAGGGGAUCACUUGUGACCUUGCGCUAAUAGAUGAGCCUAAGUCGGAUUAGCUAGUUGGUGGGGUAAAGGCCUACCAAGGCGCCGAUCUGUAGCGGGUCUGAGAGGAUGAUGCGCCACACUGGGACUGAGACACGGACCAGACUCCUACGGGAGGCAGCAGUGGGGAAUAUUGGACAAUGGGGGGAACCCUGAUCCAGCCAUGCCGCGUGUGUGAAGAAGGCCUUAUGGUUGUAAAGCACUUUAAGCGAGGAGGAGGCUCUUUUGGUUAAUACCCGAGAUGAGUGGACGUUACUCGCAGAAUAAGCACCGGCUAACUCUGUGCCAGCAGCCGCCGCAG